rnacentral:rRNA from 1 species
UCCGUAGGCGGUUUAAUAAGUCAGUGGUGAAAGCCCAUCGCUCAACGGUGGAACGGCCAUUGAUACUGUUAGACUUGAAUUAUUAGGAAGUAACUAGAAUAUGUAGUGUAGCGGUGAAAUGCUUAGAGAUUACAUGGAAUACCAAUUGCGAAGGCAGGUCUCUGGGUAGUAACUGACGCUGAGGAGCAAAAGCAUGGGUAGCGAACA